UACGGGGGGAGCAAGCGUUGUUCGGAUUUACUGGGCGUAAAGGGCGCGUAGGCGGUCAGCACAAGUCAGUCGUGAAAUCUCCGGGCUUAACUCGGAAAGGUCAACUGAUACUGUGCGACUAGAGUGCAGAAGGGGCAACUGGAAUUCUCGGUGUAGCGGUGAAAUGCGUAGAUAUCGAGAGGAACACCUGCGGCGAAGGCGGGUUGCUGGGCUGACACUGACGCUGAUGCGCGAAAGCCAGGGGAGCAAACGGG
rnacentral:rRNA from 1 species